CCGUCCGAUUUUGUUGAAACUGUUAUCUGCAGUAUAUUAUGUAACAUAAGAAUUUUAUUUCACAGUUGAUUCGGAAGAUCUUGCUGAUCGAAACACUCCAUGCCAAGCUCAAUUCAAAUCUUUAUAGCAACCUGGAUUCCAAGUGCAAAUCCACAUGCAUACGAAAGGAAUCUACAGUAAUCAGGCUUUUUUCAAAGAACCAACCUGUAAGAAGUCUGCUUCCUAAUGGAGAAGUGGGACAGGUCUGGCAUUGCGUGCUCUUCGUCCUCCGAAUCUGAUGGAAUGCUUGCGCACUCCGCCAUUUUUCCUCACCAUUUGGCUCUACAUGGAUGUUUCAGUUUUCAGCACCCUGCAGUAAUAUGAAACAGGUAAUUGAAAUGCACUGAUGCAACAAUGCCAAUUCUUCUAAAAUAGACAGAGCUGCGUUUUUUUCUAUGAAGUAACAAAAGAACUACUUUCAGUGCUGCACUGAUCUCCUCAGACGAAACAUUCAACGAAUUCUCUCUCUAUGACAGAAAGCGAUUGUGGAUUGUAUAGAUUCCUUAUAUAAGAUCUUCAAACUUAAAGAAGAAAAAAAACAGGAAAUUUCAAAUUGCCGAUGUUUUCCCGAAAAAACAAUACCUAUUUCAUUAAUCUCUUAAAAAUAUACAAAGAGGCAGUAAAGUGCGGCAAAUUUUCCUUGAAUAUUGAAACGCUUUCUCCUCUUCUUAAUGCACGACUAUACAAUGUAACCUGCAUCAACAUGUAACUGUCAGCAAUGCAUUCAGAUAACACAAGCACCAAAUUCUUCUCUUUUGAAUGCAAGUACAUCAAAGCUAUUACCAAUCCUUGCUGUAUUGUGAGGAAUUACAUCAUUCUCUGACAAAACAAACCUAUACAGUCAAACUUCGUUAUCUCGAACAAGAUGGGACUGUUUAAAAAGUUCAAGAAAUCCAAGUAUUCAAGAUAUCAAGGGUAAAAUAGUUACAAAUAAGUGGUUAGGACUUACAAAUCACUUCGACAUAUCCGUUGUAUUCGAGAUAUCGGUGUUGAAAUAUCGAAGUUCAACUGUAUUUAUAAUCUAAGAAAGAUUAUAAAAUAUGAGGCCUAAGAAAAAAAAUUGUUUGUUUCCGCUUUCCUGACGUACCCUAGCUUUUACCCCCCGACUCAAAGCUUUUUUAAAGGAUUUUAUAUGGAAAAUCGUUUAUUUUCGUUUUUAUCCAAUUUGGAGAAAAAAAUUACUCAAAAUUUUGGUCACAAAAACGCUUGAAGCAGUUACUCUUCUCAAAUCAGUGUAACUCAAACGUUUUGUUUCAAAAUGGCUGUAUGUUUCCAUGUGUUGUGGAAUUUAAUAAUGCAUUCUCUCAUCGUUGGCAGAGGAUUAGUAUCUGAUAUAUAAUAUCAUUAUUGUGUUUUCUUAAGACCAGCUUAAUAGUCAGGAAUGAUAUUAAAAGUAUUUCUCAUUUUAUAUCAUUCAGCAGUGUCAGUAUCUAACCGGCAUGUAUGGAUACUGCAAUAUUAAAGGAAAAAAAAAUAUUUGAAAAAAUAAAAAAAAAUUCCGAACGACCGACCCUAAUUUUUUGAAGCAUGAAAGUGGAAACAAACUAUUUUUUUUGCUGAUGGUUGUAGUGAAUAUUCACACCAAAAUUAAUAAUCAUUGUUCAACAGUGUGGGACCAACUCUACAAAUCAAUACUAUUCAAAUACAGCAUUGAUUUGGUCGAAAAAUUACACGACAAUUUUAACAUUAACAACAUCCAAUCAAGGCAACCAGUUGCUUAGGACUCCAGUUCAUAAAUGCCAUGAAGUCAAGCUAGUGCUAAAUCAAACCUUUCCGCAUAAUGCUCAAACCAUCAUUCAUCAUCCAAAUUUUUUUUCCAGUCAGUGAUAAUCUAAAUAUAUUACAGAUUAACUAGACUUCACUGGAUUUGUAACUGUCCCAUUAUACUGUUUUAUAUUGUAUAUGUACUAUCAUUUAAAGGUCAUUCUUUUAAGACUAAUCAGUGUAAUUACACUUGAUUUUGAAUAUAGGAUUAAAAUUUGAAUUGCUUAACAAAUAAAAUGUAGCAAAUAAUUUCACUUUUUAUUUCAGGUAAAUUGUAAACUUUGUCUUUUUUUAAAUACAAUUAAUUAGUUAGUAUCUACUUACACAACUUGCAUAUAUAUAAGUAAUUAGUCUGGAUUACAACUCAAAAGUACUUUUAUUUGUGAAUUUGAUUAAUUUAUUAGUUGGUACCAAAUAUAAAUGUUUUAUAUUACCGUAAUUAGUUUACUGUUGAUUGGCAAAUAAUCACAGUUCAAAUUUCACUAUGUUCGUGAUUUAUCGUUUUUCAGUUAAAUUAACCAACUGUAAAUAUUAACAUCAGUUUUUUAUUAAUAGUAAUUAAAGAAUUAAAUACUAAAAAAUUUAUUUACAAACAAUCUGGUUUGGAUAAAGACAAAUGUUAGUAUAAUGGCUAUGAAAAGAUCGAAACAAAGUAUUUACAUGUACUUUUUCUUCUCUGUUGUGAAAAUAAAAUAUCUGACAAGAGAUCCCUAAAAACUUUAAUUUGAUUCUUUUAACUUCAAAAUUAAAUCUGACUUACCAUAUAUAUAGUCAAGAGAAACAAAAGAAAUUAUUAAUAUAUUAUAAUUUACAAUUGAUUGUGAACUUUCGUUAUCAAUAGUCAAGUACACAAUUAUAUGCAACACUUAGACAAAAUUAUUCUUUAUUUUUAUUUUCAUUUUAAUUUGUUUUUUUUUAAACUAAUAUAUAGCUAACUAAAUGAAAACUAAAAUUCACAGACCAAUUGUACACACAUUGUAAAAUCUAUAUUAUUUUUAUCAUCACGCACGAAACCAAGGAUUUUGCUCAACUCUU